GACGAACGCUGGCGGCGUGCCUAAUACAUGCAAGUCGAGCGCAGGAAGUCAUCCGAACCCUUCGGGGGGACGUUGACGGAAUGAGCGGCGGACGGGUGAGUAACACGUAAAGAACCUGCCCUCAGGUCUGGGAUAACCACGAGAAAUCGGGGCUAAUACCGGGUGGGUCAUCGGACCGCAUGGUCCGAGGAUGAAAGGCGCUCCGGCGUCGCCUGGGGAUGGCUUUGCGGUGCAUUAGCUAGUUGGUGGGGUAAUGGCCCACCAAGGCGACGAUGCAUAGCCGACCUGAGAGGGUGAUCGGCCACACUGGGACUGAGACACGGCCCAGACUCCUACGGGAGGCAGCAGUAGGGAAUCUUCCACAAUGGACGAAAGUCUGAUGGAGCAACGCCGCGUGAACGAUGAAGGCCCUCGGGUCGUAAAGUUCUGUUGUAAGGGAAGAACAAGUGCCGCAGGCAAUGGCGGCACCUUGACGGUACCUUGCGAGAAAGCCACGGCUAACUACGUG
rnacentral:rRNA from 1 species